rnacentral:misc_RNA from 1 species
GAACGAUAUGGAGGGUAACUCUCCAAAUUUCAAACCUCUUUUUGAAGUUGAAGGAAUUGAGAAUUUGGAGACUAGGGUUUCCGAUUCUCUUCCGCAGGAUAAUGGGGGACUUGAAAGUUCUACAGAUUUCUAUAAUUCUGCAGCCACCACUGGAUUAGGGACCCAUAGAAUUCUUACCUCUGGAGAAAAUGAUCCCAGGAAUAAUGAGAAGAACGAAACAAAAACCAGUGAGCAAAAGGUAGGGAAGUACUUCUUUUAUGAUUCACCCCUUUCUGAAGAAACUGGGGUUUGGAUACCUGUUUCUGUUCCUCCCAUGUUGGAAAAUGAUCAUGAAGAGUGGAGCAGAGGUUUUCAUU